GCGUGUCGGUAAAACUCGUGCCAGCCACCGCGGUUAUACGAAAGACCCUAGUUUACAGACACGGCGUAAAGGGUGGUUAGGGGACAAACAAAAUAAAGCCAAAGACCUCCUAAGCCGUCAUACGCUCACGGAGGCACGAAGCCCAAACACGAAAGUAGCUUUACCAAACAUGCCCGACUCCACGAAAGCUGGGAAACAAACUGGGAUUAGAUACCCCACUAUGA
rnacentral:rRNA from 1 species